rnacentral:antisense_RNA from 1 species
ACUCCUCGGAACCCUCGGAGGUUGCGCAUAAACACUUUUUUCUUCCAGAACAGUCCCCCUCUCCGCCCUGGGGGAGCCGGGGAGGAUGUGCAGCCCCACUCCUCCUGCUCGGCGGAGCCUCGCGCGCGCAGAGCCUAGCGCGAUUCGCGCCCUCAUUACCACUACAAAGCGCGGGCCAGACCAAUCCCCUUUCUAAUGCACCAUUUUCGAAUGAGAACAUCAAGAGGCCAGAAACUUCCAAGUCAGCUUGCAGACGCAGACGCCUCCUGGGGUCCUGGCUUUAAGAACCAGAUGCCAACAUUCCCGGACAGUUUAUGGCAUCCGGAUCCCUCAAGGGUGCUCAUCUGCAGUUGAGAGUGAUUCUGUGUGAAGAAUACAGAGACAGACGUUCCCUUUCAAAGAAAAAAGGGCAACACGAAGGCCCUCUUUAAGGAGAGAGUAAACAUUCACUUUAGGUAAAAAAUAGUCUUUUACACGCCUGUGCACGGCACACCUCUUUUGCUGUUCACCUUGACCCCAAGACUUUGGAAAGGCUGCCCCCAUUUCAGAGAGGAAGAAACGCAGGCACACGUGAAUGACAGACUCCUCUGUGGUGGCCUAGACUCCAGCCAGCACUUCCUAGGACAGCCUGCCAUUGUGCAAAGUCACCAUGUAACAAAUGCAGACAUCUCUGAGAUCACCAUGCAGUGAGGAAGUCCAAGAUGGUGGCAGGAAGAGGCCACAUGGAAAGGGCUAAAAAAGGGGCCAGCCUCAGUCAUCCCGGCUGAGCACCUGGCUGGGAAUAAAAGAGGACUCCGUGGAUGUUUACUCCAGGAGCUUCAGUGGUGCAUGCCGAAUGUGCUGUUUCUUGGGCUGGGGGACAGAGAUGUGCAUGCUGUUAUACACUCUAUAUUGAAAUGAUUAUAUAACAAUAUACUAAUUUAUCAUGUAAUAAAUUUGACCAGAAAAAAAAAAA